GGGCGUGAGGGAGCGGGCCCCGCCGGACAGCCCGGUCUUGGUCCCAAAGGCUCCCUGAGGAGGGAGGGGGCCUGCAGAGCGUGCGUGCUGGCCCCGCGCUGGGAAGCCCAGCCUUAGCCCCCAAGGCUCCCGAGGGGACCCUGCAGUGGGCGCGGCCCGCCCCCCCCAGCCCCAGCGACACCCCCUCCCGCGCCCCCUCCUUUUCCCGUGCACUCACGGCCGACAGGGGGCGCCCGCCCAGCGCAGCCCCGUGCGGCCCUGCAGGCUCAGGGUCGACAGCAGCGGCAGCGGCGGCGGCAGAGGCAGAAGCGGAUGAGUCCCGUCUCCGCCCCGUCGCGCCGCUUCCGGUUUCCGCUGGGUCAGAGGCCGGGGGAGGGCGGGACUUAAACGGGCCGCGGAGCGGAAGGGGGAGGGGGAGAGAAGAGGAGGCGGAGCCUGAAGGAGUUGCCAGAGCCCGGCCUCCCGAGAUCUCGCCGCGGGGGCGGGAACUAGCAACCCUGACCCGAACCUAACGAACAGGCAGGGAAACUGAGACUCGAGGAGUAUGGGGAAGGGAAAGUAGCUCCGUAACGAGCCCAUGGGCAGGCGCCAUAGUCCUCAGGGCGUUGAGGGGCUCCGAGCCUGCACCCCCCCAAAUUUGGUUCUUCAUCUCCUGGGAUGAUGGCGCAUACCCAGAACUAGUUACCACGGCAACCAAGCAGCCGUUCUUUUCCGGGUUUAACGCGUGAUUCAGGGCCAGGGCCCCGGCGAAGGCGUACCCAGGCGGGGUCAGUGGCAGCCCAAAGGCUAGAACUUCCCACCUUCCGCCCGGCCCCCGUUUUACACAAGAGCUGGGGUUCCUGGGGGCUUCCCUGCAAGGGGAAGUGACUUGUUCAAGGUCACACGAAGAAUGCCUGCCGGUCCCACUAGUACUCUUAUCUGAGGCCAAUGGUGAAGAAGGUCUUAUCACCCACCCAAAAGGGCUGGGUGUAUGGAGCUGGUCUUCAGAGCAAGCUUAAGGGGCUCCAAGUAGGAACUGGAGGGCAGUGGGGGCCAGCCUUGGAGUCAGGGAAAUCCAGGGUUCGAAUCCUAACCCAGAGUCACUUCUGAAUUGUGUGACAAGUCCCUAUAAGCCUCAAUUUCCUCAUCUAUAAAAUGGAGAUAAUCCCAAAAGGACUUCACCACCUCACUGGGGAGUAACUUGACUUAAGGGAAAUACCAGUGUAGAUGACAUGCCCUGCAAACGCUAGGGCUCUGUGGUAGAAAGAUGCAAAAUCAGAAUCCCUCUUACUGCCUACCUCCUGAUGGAGUUCAGAUGCAGAAGAUUUGCAUUUGUCCAUGUGGCCAAAGUGAAUUUGUUUUGCUUAUCUCGGUUUAUAAGGAAAGAGGACUUUCUUUUUUUAAAACUUCUAACUUCCUUCUUAGUAUCAAUUCUAAGAAGAGGAGGAAGGGCUAGGAAGUGUCGGAGUUAGAUUUGAACCCAGGCCCCCUCCCCCAACUCCAUUAAAAAAAAAAAGAAAUCAAGGGUUGAAAAGAUAGAGCUCCAGUAAUAGUGAUGUACAUUUUAAAAAAGAGAAGAAAGAAUAAAAAGUCAUGGGAGGAGGUUAAAACA
ensembl:lncRNA